AUGGAAACCCACCAAGAGGAUGGAGGAUCCCCCCCAACAUCCCACUCUGUAGGAUCGGAAAAUUGUUGUGGUUCUGUGUUUGCCAACCGUGGUACUACAACAACAACCAGCACUGUGGAAAUAUCAAGUCGUGGAUCUUUGCCUGAAGCGCAGGAGCCUCAGGUUGACAGCCCGGUCACGGAAGAAGCUGCUACUACAACAUCCUUUACCAGACCUGUUGCGGCUUUCGCUAUCAGUGUUCAAAAACAGUGCCACUAAUCACAGAGAACGGUCAAACAUAUCAUCUCAGGAGUGCAACAAUAUCAGGCAGUUCUUGUGGAUAUGCUCAAGCAAAAAUUGAGGACAGUGUUUGAAGAUCAUGCCGAGAGAACCACUCAGCUUCAAGAUGAGGCGUUGGCUACAUUUGAUAAGUUCAUGGAUCCUUUCUCCAACAUUGCUAUGGACAGAGUUGAGCCAUAGGGGAACUGUUCAGCCCAGUCAACGCAUAGGAAGUAGUAGUAUCCCAGAAGAUUUGUUAGGUAAAGCAAGGUCUUUGAAGGGUCAUGUCCAUAAGCAACAAAAGUUUUUACUACGUACCAUUAAUUGAAGGUGUAAAGCAGUUAUUGACUGAUGAGAGAAUCUGUUGAACACUGCACCACAAAGAAGCAGAGAGGCAUUCUUCUAUGAUUUAACAAACGGAUCCCUCUUUACAUCUCACCCCAUAUUUACAGCCCAAAUGCAUUGCAAUUAAUACUUUACACAAUUAUAAUGUGUAACCCCUUAGGGUCCCAUGCUUCUGUAAACACAUUGGUUAUGUUUUAUUGUACUUUAGAAAAUAUUGAUUCAAAAUUUAGGUCAAAGUUAGCUGCAAUAUGACUUUAUUGCUAUCGCUAAGGAAAAUUACAUUGCUCAGUGGGGCGUUGAUGUUGUACUGAAAAGAAUUCUUCAAGAUCUAUCAGUGCUUUACAAUGGUGUAAGGAUUGAAAUGUCAAAUGGUGAAAUUAAAUAGUUUGGUGUUUUUUAUAGCCAGUUGCGGAAACAUGCUAUCCCAGCAUGAGAUUGCUGGCUUUAAAGAAGGGAUUGGUUUUGCUUAUAGCAAAUGUAGACACUGUGAAUACAACAACAACAAAUUGAAACAGUCUUGUGGACAGAUGCUGAUUCUUUUGAAAAUACUUAAUUAUGAUAGUUCAGAUAAGUUCCUGCUCCCAUUAUUUUUUUACAAACUGUAUUGCAACUGAAAAGUAAGAUUGAGGAACACCUGUAUCAGUUCAUGCUACAGAAUUAGCACAUGAGCUCAUUGAUUAUACUUUAUACUGUUCUAGUAGUUUCAGGGAAAUUGUGUUUGUGCCAAUAACAUAGAGUCUUUCUGAUAUCAUUUCCCAUAGAAAUCAGCCUUAAGAUUAGGGCUGCACCAAAGGAUUUUCUUAGUGUAGUGUUCUGAUGUCGGUUAACAAACCCUCAUCAAAUGUUCCCUAAACCAAUGUUAGUGUUGUGCCACAAUAAUGCUGGCAUGCUGGGACAAACAGCUGUCUCUGAAAUGAGAUUUGUAUCAUAGAUUUUGGUAAAAUGUUUUCUCUUUUAUGUAAACAUUUGAAGUCAGACAUGAUUUUUCAAUAAAUCAUGUUUUCA
ensembl:lncRNA